rnacentral:lncRNA from 1 species
ACUUUCUCAUCUUGGCAAUUGGGAUGGACUGCUCAUCUUGUUGGCACCCCCUCCAGGAGAACUUCUCACAUCACCUCAAGCUGGAUUUACUGCUGGACCCCACCAAACACCCUACCCCCUCAAUACUCCUAGGUCUUACAUGUUACUGCCUUGUGACUUUCUCCCCAAGGGAAACACAGCCUCCACCAGAGCAGCGACAGUACCUUACUCGUUUCAUCUGCGUAUGUCUAGUGCUAGCACAUACUUAGCUUAAAGUAAUCAGUAGAUUUUUUUGUAAAAUCCAAAGUGUUGGGCUCUAGUAAUUUAAGAAUUUGCUAUUUUUAGAAACUCUUAAAAUAAAAAAUAAUCGAUUAGUUUGUUCAAGUGUUUUGAACCAUUAGAGAGCAAGUUAUUUGUAUUUUGGGAGAUGACGCGAGUAAAACGGUGACUGCCCAGUUUUCGUCAUUUUAGGGUUACAGGAAGCUCCACCAGAGGGCGAGCAAGAGAAGGAAAACAACAUAAAUUAGAAUCAGUCUGUUGUAUACUGAUAGCAAAUCUGGAGGAAAACUUUUAAAAUGGUAAUACUAAUAACUAGCGUGGUGGCUCAAACCUGUAAUCCCAGCACUUUGGGA